GUGGGGAAUCUUCCGCAAUGGACGAAAGUCUGACGGGGCAACGCCGCGUGAGUGAAGAAGGUUUUCGGAUCGUAAAGCUCUUUCGUUAGGGACGAACGUGCUCUUUGUGAAUAAUGAGGAGUAAUGACGGUACCUAAAUAAGAAGCCACGGCUAACUACGUGCCAGCAGCCGCGGUAAUACGUAGGUGGCAAGCGUUGUCCGGAAUUAUUGGGCGUAAAGCGCGCGCAGGCGGGAUAUCAAGUCUGUCUUAAAAGUGCGAGGCUCAACCUCGUGAGGGGACAGAAACUGGUAUUCUUGAGUGUCGGAGAGGAAAGUGGAAUUCCAAGUGUAGCGGUGAAAUGCGUAGAGAUUUGGAAGAACACCAGUGGCGAAGGCGACUUUCUGGACGAUGUCUGACGCUGAGGCGCGAAAGCUAGGGGAGCGAACGGGAUUAGAUACCCCUGUAGUCC
rnacentral:rRNA from 1 species